rnacentral:lncRNA from 1 species
AAACAUUGGAAUAAAGUCAAAAGAAAAAUCCCUAAUUCUAUAUUCAAACUGUAAAAAACAAAGAAAAUCCAAGUCAUACUUGAGCUUGAUCCAAAAAUUUUACGUAAAAAUGAUUACAUUCCUCAAAUUUAGAAAUAAGUUCCCCUAAUGCAAAGCUUCAAGAUUUUUUAUUACGAGAGGGGAAAAAAGACUAGGCCAAGAGAAAAAAUGGAAUAUAAUUGAAAAUUCCACAGACAAUUGGAUAAUUUGGCAAUUUGCAUUAUUUUAA